rnacentral:rRNA from 1 species
CCUACGGGUGGCAGCAGUGGGGAAUAUUGCACAAUGGGGGAAACCCUGAUGCAGCGACGCCGCGUGAAGGAAGAAGCAUUUCGGCAUGUAAACUUCUAUCAGCAGGGAAGAAAAUGACGGUACCUGACCAAGAAGCCCCGGCUAACUACGUGCCAGCAGCCGCGGUAAUACGUAGGGGGCAAGCGUUAUCCGGAUUUACUGGGUGUAAAGGGAGCGUAGGCGGCGAUGCAAGCCAGAAGUGAAAGCCCGGGGCCCAACGCCGGGACUGCUUUUGAAACUGGAUGGCUGGAGUGCAGGAGGGGCAAGUGGAAUUCCUAGUGUAGCGGUGAAAUGCGUAGAUAUUAGGAGGAACACCAGUGGCGAAGGCGGCUUGCUGGACUGUAAAUGACGCUGAGGCUCGAAGGCGUGGGGAGCAAACAGGAUUAGAUACCCCUGUAGUC